GAUGAACGCUAGCUACAGGCUUAACACAUGCAAGUCGAGGGACCGGCGCACGGGUGAGUAACAUGUAUCCCACCCGCACAUUAGUCGGUGACAGCCUUCCGAAAGAGAGAUUAAUACCCGAUGUAAAGGCUGGGGAUGCGUUCCAUUAGGUUGUGGGUAAGGUAACGGCUCAACAAGCAUUCGAUGGCUAGGGGUUCUGAGCGGAAUGUCCCCCACAUUGGAACUGCGACCCAGUCCAAUCUCCUACGGGAGGCAGGAGUGAGGUAUAUUGGUCGGUGGACGUUAGCCUGAACCAGCCAAGUCGAGUGAAGGAUGAAGUCUUUUGGGUCGUAAACUUCUUUUAUAUAAAAAUCUGUAUUAUCUGAAUAAGGAUCGGCUAACUCCGUGCCAGCAGCCGCGGUAAUUC
rnacentral:rRNA from 1 species